rnacentral:rRNA from 1 species
AUAAAAAAUUUUUAUAGUUUGAAAAUUUAUUAAAAAUUUAUUUUGCAUAUAAAUUUUAGUGUUAAUUUUUAAUUAUUUAAAUAAUAUUUAAUAAUGUAAUAAAAUAGCAAUUAAUAUUAAAAAUUUAAGAAAUUAAGAUUUAGUAAUAUUUAAAUUAAUAACAAAUUUUGUGCCAGCAGUUGCGGUUAGACAAAAGUUAAAUUGAAUUUUAUUAGUAAUUAAUAUAUAAAUUUAAAAUUUAAGUAAAUAUGAAGUUAUUAGGUAGAAUUUUUAUUUUAUUUAAUUUAAUUUUUUUUUUUAUAGUUUAAUAAAUUAUGUGAAAAAACUAGGAUUAGAUACCCUAUUAUUAAAAUUUAAAUUAAAAAUACUAAAAUAGUAUGUAAAAGUUUAUUGAAACUUAAAUAAUUUGGCGGUAUUUUAGUUUAUUUAGAGGAAUCUGUUUAUUAAUUGAUAAUCCACGAAUAAAUUUACUUGAUUUAUAAUUUUGUAUAUCGUUGUUAAAAAAAUAUUUUAAGAUAAAAAUAAUAUUUUAGAUUAUAAAAAAAAAUUAAAUCAGAUCAAGAUGCAGAUUAUAAUUAAGAAUAUAAUGGAUUACAAUAAAUUUAUUUAAAUGAAUAAUAAUUUGUAAAAAUUAGUUGAAGGUGGAUUUAAAUGUAAUUUUAUUUAAUUUAAUAAAAUGAUUAAAAAUUAAAAUAUGUACAUAUUGCCCGUCACUUUCAUAUAUAAGUUGGAAUAAGUCGUAACAAAGUAGAGGUACUGGAAAGUGUUUCUAGAAAUA